rnacentral:lncRNA from 10 species
GUCAGGUCCGCCUCAUCAGCUAUGAAGUCUGUGAAUCCUGGGAGAAUCAGGAAGUCGUCGUAGGUGAGGCAGUCGGCGCUGGCAAAGAGCUGCUGCGCGGGGAGCCAGUUAUCGGGCACAUAGUCGGUGCCGCCCCUGAUCAGCCAUGUGAAGACCAUGAUUGCUUUCCCUUCAGCCUUCCACCUUUACUGGUGCACAAAGACUCCAUCUAACAGCUACCCGUAUUUCCUGACAGUGACUCUGAAAGGUAUCCCAAUACCUAAAUAUACAGAAAUUACUGGAAGAAAUAUUCAAUCUGGUGUGAUAUACUAGGUGAAUGUAUCAUAAGAAUUUCUGUUCCUUACAAAAUUGUGAAUGCAAAGUUUUAGGAAUUAUAUUGGCUAUAUGAUACUGAUCUUUGAUAUCUUUGUACCUUAAAGCAAGAUUUUCUUAGUGAACACUGGCAUUCACAGUAUUGUUUUUUCUCUGGCUAUAUCAAGAGCUUUAGUUGUUUUUUGUUAAAUGAAAAGAAUGAAGAGACUAUCUUUCAGACUUAAAAGUUAAAGUUCUGUGUGCAGACUUUCAUGUCAUGUAGAAAAAGGAAAUAAAGGGAGUUA